rnacentral:sRNA from 1 species
AGAGGAGUAACGAAUAGACUUUUUACAACUACAUGUAUCUCUCCUACUUUUCUUAUCUCAUUUUCAAUGUACGUGUAGAAAUAUUGCUAGUCCCGUCAAACAGAAUAUAUCGUUAUGAUUUUUUUCUUUUAUUUGUGUAUUCGGAACGUAGAUAGGUCUAUGUAGUCCAGGGCAUCAUAACUCGUUUGAGUAUAAUAAUUUACAUUUUUUUUAUUUCUGAAUUUGCAGUGUUUUUUUUAUCGAAAGUAUACAACUUAAAUUAUUUUAUUUUUAAAUAUUUUUCAUAGAACGAUUUUUAAUUCGGUGCUUAGCUUGGAUGUGGUUAAUUUUUUUUAAGAUCGACAGAUAUCUUGAUUUUGUAUUAACUUUUGACAGAACGUAAAAUGACUUGUGAAAAAUGUGUUUUUUUUAAUCAAACAUUGAAAACAAAGUUACGCAAUUACGAUUAGUUUUUAUGAAUUUUUUUAUAUGCAAUAAAUUGUGUUUCAUUGUUAAAUUUGAUGAAUUGAAGAGUUUAGUUAUUUUUAGUUGCAUGUACUGUAUAUGUACUGUACAUGUAUAUUUUUUAUAUUAUACCUACAAAGAACAUGUAAAAUGAAUAUAUUUUU